UUGCGGCCACAUCAGGUUCAAACACCGGUACCCUUGCGAUCACAGAAGUUAAGCGGCGUCAAGCCUGCUCAAUACCUAGAUGAGUAACCGCUUAGGAAUAUCAGGUGCUGUAAG